GUUUUAAAAAAUAAUUUGAAAUAUGUUUUAAUGUGGAAUCUCUAUGUAUAGGUAGAGUAGUUACAAGCCACAGCUGUUGGUGAAGUGGAGUUUUCUCAAGAAAAUAACUCGUUUCACUUUUACUGGAAGAAAACCGUAAUGACUUUCAGCAAGCCACUGUCCAUCUCAGGAUGGGACUGGGACUGGAGCAGGGAAUGGAAGAAAAGUUAUGCCCAAAUUAUCCAUUCCUGAAAAGGAGGCAAGAUUUUAGCUGAAAUGAGCAAGUACGAUAGACCUGGAGGCACCCCGGAUAACUUGCUGACCACAGCUAAGCUCUAUUUUUGGAGGCACCUAGACACAACUCUAGGUAGUUCAGCUGCCAUGAAGAAUUCUGUGUGGCCAAGUGCUGUGACUCGUCUUAGAAGAUGUGAUGCUAUUUUUCCUAGAAACCCUUGUAGCAGAAAGAAGCUGUGAGGAGAACAAGCCUUGAAGGAUCAGAACCUCAGAAGGCCAUAGAGAAAGAGACAAACUGAUUACGGUAAUUGCUUAACUCUCAUGUAUUUUUUUUCAAUGAACAUUCUCAUGAGCUCUGUAGUAGCAGUAGGCACAAUCAAUGGCUUUGUAAAUAUAUAAGCAUGUAAAUAUCCAUGUCUUUUCUGUAGGUGAACAUGGUAUUCACAGUGUAUUUGCUUCAUUUCCAAGUAGCGCAUCUAUGCCGUUGGAUGAUGAUGGCAUUGAUACGGAUGAUGCUGAGAUGCUCUGACUGCUAUUUGGCAGAAUUCUGGGUGGCUGGUUACUCACUGAGAAGCUUCUGGACAAGCAUUGGAAACAAAGGGCAUCAAGGAGCAAUAACUUCCAUGUCAGAUUUUUCUUUUCAUCUUACCAAGUAACAUCCCAAAACUUUGCAGACUGCGUAGUUGCACUGAGAAUUCACAAUCACUACAGAGAGUUGUGCUGGCCUGUGUGUAAACUUGUCCCCAGUGUUACUAUCCAUAUGAUACCAUUUUGAUUCAUGCCAUGGCAUUGCUUGUGUGUUCCUUGAACACUCCACCCGCUGCAGCACAUGGCAGAAACCAUAAUGGCCUUCAAUCCAAGUUUUGGCCCCAGGAGCCACGUGCUGGCAACAGCUAAUAUCUCA
ensembl:lncRNA